UGCCUGGGAAUAUGCCUUGAUGUGGGGGAUAACCAUUGGAAACGAUGGCUAAUACCGCAUAAUGCCUACGGGCCAAAGAGGGGGAUCUUCGGACCUCUCGCGUCAAGAUUANCCCAGGUGGGAUUAGCUAGUUGGUGAGGUAAUGGCUCACCAAGGCNACGAUCCCUANCUGGUCUGAGAGGAUGAUCAGCCACACUGGAACUGAGACACGGUCCAGACUCCUACGGGAGGCAGCAGUGGGGAAUAUUGCACAAUGGGCGCAAGCCUGAUGCAGCCAUGCCGCGUGUGUGAAGAAGGCCUUCGGGUUGUAAAGCACUUUCAGUCGUGAGGAAGGUUCNUNNNNUAAUAGCGUAUGGAUUUGACGUUAGCGACAGAAGAAGCACCGGCUAACUCCGUGCCAGCAGCCGCGGUAAUACGGAGGGUGCGAGCGUUAAUCGGAAUUACUGGGCGUAAAGCGCAUGCAGGUGGNUCGUUAAGUCANAUGUGAAAGCCCGGGGCUCNACCUCGGAACUGCAUUUGAAACUGGCGGACUAGAGUACUGUANAGGGGGGUANAAUUUC
rnacentral:rRNA from 1 species